UGCUUAAAGCAUAACGUUAAUGCACUAAAUCCCUUUAGAAAUCUAUAGUUAAGUGUGCUUGGGCUAGAGUAGUAUUGGGAUGGGUGAUCACCCAGGAAGUCCUAGUGUUUUACAUGC
rnacentral:rRNA from 1 species